GAACGGCUGCCUCUCUUGCGGUGAUUGGUCCGGCGUGUAUGACGUCACGAAAUCAUGAACGAUGAUAGGCUAUUCUGACAAAAAUGGGUGGGAACAGACACACGGUGGAAGCAUCCAGCCUUUCGCUUCCUUGGCCCGAAUUUAUAAAAUCUAAACGUGUGUGAUUUUCCGGAAGAAUUUCUCCCGUUUUUUUGGAUCAAUAUGCCCAGAAAAUGUGUUUUUGGUUGUAUAGGACAACAGAACUUUUUCUCCAUCCCAAAAGAUGAUUACACGAGGCAAAUGUGGGAGCAGUUUAUUUCCCCCACACAGCAGUGCCACGGCGAAGCUUUUGUUUGUUCACGACAUUUCACUGAAGACAGCUUUCUAAACAAAGCUCAGUAUGAAGCUGGGUUCUCGAAAAGACUGCUUCUUAACCCGGGGAGCAUCCCGACACGGACCGGUCAGGAGUGUGGGCGGCCGGCAUGUGUCAGGACCAAGGAGUUUGGAUGCCAAACUGACUUCAGAUUUCGGACAGAGUCAACUGCCACACAGCUCUCUCUGGGCACUCUGGGGCCACGUGUAAGGAGCAAAAGCACACAAAUCGGGCCUGAUGACUUUAGAACGCAGAGUUACGUGAGAAGCAGGACGUUGUCACAGUCAGCAACGUCAGAAUAUGGCAUGAAUCUUAGGUCAGCAAAGCGGAAACGCAUAGAAAUGGAGGAGGACUUUUCUAACACAGAAAGUGGUCAAGAGCCUGGAGCCUCAGUCACAGGGGCUUCAGUCAAAGAGCCAACACAAAUGAGUGACGUGGAGGACCCGUGUGACCACACCGAGACAAAAUACAUAGUCUUUGAGAGCUGCCUGAGAGAGCUGUUUGAAACCUGCUUACUUUGCAAACAUAAGUGUGAAGUGCAGCAUCAACGGCAUGGGACGUUCAUCUCAUUCACUCAGACCUGUCCGGUUUGCAACUUCCAAAGACGGUGGCAAAACCAGCCAGUUCGGGAAGACACUCCGGAUGGAGACCUUUAGGUUUUCAGCCGCUGUUUAUUUCACUGGAGGAUGUUUUGAAGAAAAAUAAAGAAGGUUUGCAAAACCAUGCAUCUUCUGGUGCAUGGGUGCAGCACAUUUGAGAGGUAUGCUUGUCAGUUCCUGGAACCUUCCAUCUACCACAAGUGGAAAACUGAUCUAAAAAACCUUCUCCACCAAGUUCAGCUUUGAGGACACUCUUGCAUCGUUUCCACUAAGCAGUCUAGACCGGACCGGACCGAGCUGGACAGGUAUUUUGAGCGUUUCUAUUUCAAAGUGGACCCAUUAAGCAGGACCGACUGGUACCAUUUCUGGUCCCCCGUUGGUUAAAGGUCCACAAAAAAAUGGAAUGGACCCGUUAGGGCGGAGCUACCGUCGUGACACAAUGUAACCCAUUGAUUGGCGGAAAGGUUUUACGACAACACCAAACAUCCAAUCAUCACUUUUCCCGACUCAAGAUUCAAACUGAAAGUUUUGUCCUCUUUUCGUCUGGAUUCUUCUUCGCCCCCACAAUCUUAUUGCAAAGAAUAAUUAUAAAUUAAUUACAGACUGUAUUCCCUCUUAUUCGCGAGAAUUGGGGACUGGAGACACGACCAAUCCACAAAUGCGGAGACACCCCCAACCCCCGUUUCCAUCUCACCCGACCCCCGCGACCGAAGAAUGUCCGUUACGAUCCAUACCCAUGAAAAACAUGUCGGAUCGUGCUUUGUAAAACAUUUAUUGAAGAACGUUGGCGUAUUGCUCAACAUAAGUCAAUUCAGAACAAUAGACUGCUCUGCUGCGUAGAGCCCCGCUUCAUCAAUAAUGAACGCCUGCUCUGGAUUAUAAUUAUCCUCUGUGGUUAUCUUUUUAAUUUUCCGUCCGUUUCUCAGUCAGCUGAUGCAGAUUCUCUUUCACUGUAGUUGAACCGUUUUGAAGCACAGCUACGUCAUCAGUAUAAAC